rnacentral:rRNA from 1 species
UACGGAGGAUCCGAGCGUUAUCCGGAUUUAUUGGGCGUAAAGAGCGCGCAGGUGGUUGAUUAAGUCUGAUGUGAAAGCCCACGGCUUAACCGUGGAGGGUCAUUGGAAACUGGUCGACUUGAGUGCAGAAGAGGGAAGUGGAAUUCCAUGUGUAGCGGUGAAAUGCGUAGAGAUAUGGAGGAACACCAGUGGCGAAGGCGGCUUCCUGGUCUGUAACUGACACUGAGGAGCGAAAGCAUGGGUAGCGAACAGGAUUAGA